CGCCGGGGGCGUUGCCUUGACGGGGGCGUCGUGUCUCUUUAGACUCAUGCACCCCUAAAUUUGGCAGGGCAUUUUGCUCUGUCAUUUUGCUUUCUUUGUAAAGCAAUAGCGUCGAAAGACAACAGUGGAGCAAUUAGA
rfam:Pseudomonas pseudoalcaligenes KF707 = NBRC 110670 strain KF707 ctg1694, whole genome shotgun sequence.